ACACAACCACGAAGAACACAUCUUCAGAAGCAAAAUGCAGAAGGAUCAAAAAACUUGAGCAACUGUGCUUUCAGAGAAAAUUCAAUUGCAGUAAAAUCCAUGACCAAUUAAUAUCAAACAAGAAACACAAUUUGAAAGUUUGUGCUUGAAAUUUUCAUAACUAACAUGAUGCUUCAUAUAACAUUAACACAAAAUAUAAGUAGCAUGUCUCAUUACUCAAAAUUCAUCAACUUCAACUUCCACAGCAUGCUAAAUUUUUCUUCCAACAUUGGUCUUACUCGAAGAAACUGUAUUUAGCACAUCUGAAACUCGUUUGCAAAGCCUAUGUUCUGUUGUGAGAUACACUUAAAUUUUUAAUUUCAAUCAACUUACGUUCCACCAACUCCUCCAUCUACAUCUGAGCUAAUUGGAUGAAAUGGAAGCUCGCAAAUCC
rnacentral:misc_RNA from 1 species